rnacentral:rRNA from 1 species
AGAGUUUGAUCAUGGCUCAGAUUGAACGCUGGCGGCAUGCUUUACACAUGCAAGUCGAGCGGCAGCGCGGGGGCAACCCUGGCGGCGAGCGGCGGACGGGUGAGUAAUGCAUCGGAACGUAUCCCGUAGUGGGGGACAACCCAGCGAAAGCUGGGCUAAUACCGCAUAUGCUCUACGGAGGAAAGUGGGGGACCUGCAAGGGCCUCACGCUAUGGGAGCGGCCGAUGUCCGAUUAGCUAGUUGGUGGGGUAAAGGCUUACCAAGGCGACGAUCGGUAGCUGGUCUGAGAGGAUGAUCAGCCACACUGGGACUGAGACACGGCCCAGACUCCUACGGGAGGCAGCAGUGGGGAAUUUUGGACAAUGGGGGCAACCCUGAUCCAGCCAUGCCGCGUGCGGGAAGAAGGCCUUCGGGUUGUAAACCGCUUUUGGUCGGGAAGAAAGGGCGCCGGAUAAUACCUGGCGUUGUUGACGGUACCGGCAGAAUAAGCACCGGCUAACUACGUGCCAGCAGCCGCGGUAAUACGUAGGGUGCGAGCGUUAAUCGGAAUUACUGGGCGUAAAGCGUGCGCAGGCGGUAAGUUAAGUCUGAUGUGAAAGCCCCGGGCUCAACCUGGGAAUGGCAUUGGAAACUGGCUUGCUUGAGUGUGGCAGAGGGGGGUGGAAUUCCGCGUGUAGCAGUGAAAUGCGUAGAGAUGCGGAGGAACACCGAUGGCGAAGGC